rnacentral:rRNA from 1 species
AUAGGGAGUCGGACCUGCCCAGUGAAAUAUUUUUAACGGCCGCGGUACUCUGACCGUGCAAAGGUAGCAUAAUCAUUUGCCCUAUAAUUGAGGGCUAGUAUGAAUGGUUUGACAAGAAUAAAGCUGUCUCUUUUUAAUUAUAUAGAAUUUUAUUUUUAGGUGAAGAAGCCUAAAUUUAAUUAAAAGACAAGAAGACCCUAUCGAGCUUUAAAUAAAUUGAGAGAUUUAUGGAAAUAUAUAUUAAAACAAUAUCUAUCAAAAAUUUUGGUUGGGGCGACAAAGGAACAUAAAAAGCUUCUUUUACACAAUAUUAGACUAAACGAGUUAUGAUCCAAUAAAUUUUGAUUAAAGAAAUUAGUUACCGUAGGGAUAACAGCAUUAUCUUUUUUGAGAGCUCAUAUCGAAAAAAAGGUUUGUGACCUCGAUGUUGGACCAGAAUAUCCUAAAGAUGCAGAAGUCUUUAAGGGUUGGUCUGUUCGACCAUUAAAAUUCU